rnacentral:rRNA from 1 species
AGUGAACGCUGGCGGCAGGCUUAACACAUGCAAGUCGAACGGCAGCGCGGACUUCGGUCUGGUGGCGAGUGGCGAACGGGUGAGUAAUACAUCGGAACGUGCCCAGUCGUGGGGGAUAACGUAGCGAAAGCUACGCUAAUACCGCAUACGAUCUAAGGAUGAAAGCGGGGGAUCGCAAGACCUCGCGCGAUUGGAGCGGCCGAUGGCAGAUUAGGUAGUUGGUAGGGUAAAGGCCGACCAAGCCGACGAUCUGUAGCUGGUCUGAGAGGAUGAUCAGCCACACUGGGACUGAGACACGGCCCAGACUCCUACGGGAGGCAGCAGUGGGGAAUUUUGGACAAUGGGCGCAAGCCUGAUCCAGCCAUUCCGCGUGCAGGAUGAAGGCCUUCGGGUUGUAAACUGCUUUUGUACAGAACGAAAAGGCUCUGGUUAAUACCCGGGGCUCAUGACGGUACUGUAAGAAUAAGCACCGGCUAACUACGUGCCAGCCGCCGCAGUAA